UACGAAGGGGGCUAGCGUUGUUCGGAAUCACUGGGCGUAAAGGGCGCGUAGGCGGCUUGGCAAGUCAGGUGUGAAAGGCCUGGGCUCAACCCAGGAACUGCACUUGAGACUGCCUCGCUUGAGUCCGGGAGAGGAUGGCGGAAUUCCCAGUGUAGAGGUGAAAUUCGUAGAUAUUGGGAAGAACACCGGUGGCGAAGGCGGCCAUCUGGACCGGUACUGACGCUGAGGCGCGAAAGCGUGGGGAGCAAACAGGAUUAGAUACCCUGGUAGUCCACGCCGUAAACGAUGAGUGCUAGACGUCGGGGGGUUCACUCUCCGGUGUCGAAGCUAACGCAUUAAGCACUCCGCCUGGGGAGUACGGUCGCAAGAUUAAA
rnacentral:rRNA from 1 species